UGGAUUACAUCGCCGUGGCGAUACUACACCUGCCUACGGUAAAUCUUACGGUAGCAGCCGAACAGCUAUCAAUGUGAUGAACUGCACUCCGCGGGGACUCUCGCUGGAACGCGCAUCCUAGCUUCCAACACGGAAUCUUCGACAAUCAAGCAAUCAAGGCAUGACCUGCAAACUAGCGUGACAAGCGAGGUGAGUACUUUGAAUGUACUCGCAAGCUCACAACAAACAUCAGCAUUAAGGCAAGGCAAUAUCAUAGCAAUCAAGAUUAAGUGAAGGGUUGUUAUUACUAAAGGAGUAUCAGAGAACUAACUAUACCAGGCUACUCUCACCAUACCCGGGUGAUACCAACUCUUGUGAUCUUACCAAGAUCCUUAGCGAGUAUCCUCAAGAUGGAUACCGGAAAUUAUCACCGGCAUGAUGCCCAACUGUAACACUGGCACGAUGCCCAACAGUUACCUAUUCAGACGAGUUCUUCCAUGAGUACUAUCAUAGAUACGGCUGACCUUCUACUAAGGUCUGGUCGGGUUGUCCAAUACCAUGGACUCGGCUAUUCGAAUAGGUUUGACACUCUGCGGAGGUUGCACACUUUACCCACACUCUGGAGCACUCACCUCAUGAUCCCAUUCGGGUGGACCAGCAUUGCUCCAACGAAACUUGCCUGAACCGUGAUCCUCUAAUCGUAUCACCGGCAACCACUCCCUUCCCUGGAGUCCUACCCUGGGUGGCCCUGUGCCCGCAUGGCAGCUGUGCC
rnacentral:lncRNA from 1 species